rnacentral:rRNA from 1 species
UACGUAGGAUGCAAGCGUUGUCUGGAAUUAUUGGGCGUAAAGAGCGCGCAGGCGGUCUAUCAAGUCAGAUGUGAAAUAUCCGGGCUUAACCCGGAGGGGUCAUUUGAAACUGGUAGACUAGAGUACAGCAGAGGAUAGCGGAAUUCCCGGUGUAGUGGUGAAAUGCGUAGAUAUCGGGAGGAACACCAGUGGCGAAGGCGGCUAUCUGGGCUGAAACUGACGCUGAGGCGACGAAGGCUAGGGGAGCAAACAGGG